rnacentral:tRNA from 1 species
CGGGGCGUGGCGCAGCUCGGUAGCGCACCUGCUUUGGGAGCAGGGGGUCGCCGGUUCAAAUCCGGCCGCCCCGACCA